AGUGAACGCUGGCGGCGUGCUUAACACAUGCAAGUCGAACGAGAACGGGUUAUAGCUUGCUAAAAUUGUCAGCUAAGUGGCGCACGGGUGAGUAAUGUAUAGGUAAUAUGCCUCUUACUAAGUGAUAACAAAUGGAAACGUUUGCUAAUACCUUAUACUCCUUAUUAACAGAAGUUAAUAAGGGAAAGAUUUAUUGGUAAGAGAUUAGCCUGUAUUGUAUCAGUUAGUUGGUGGGGUAAUGGCUUACCAAGACUAUGACACAUAACUGGUUUGAGAGGAUGAUCAGUCACACUGGAACUGAGACACGGUCCAGACUCCUACGGGAGGCAGCAGUGGGGAAUAUUGCACAAUGGACGAAAGUCUGAUGCAGCAACGCCGUGUGGAGGAUGACACAUUUCGGUGCGUAAACUCCUUUUAUAUGAGAAGAUAAUGACGGUAUUAUAUGAAUAAGCACCGGCUAACUCCGUGCCAGCAGCCGCCGUAA
rnacentral:rRNA from 1 species